rnacentral:tRNA from 1 species
GUGCGGUUGGCGUAGUGGUCAACGCGUUCGCUCAGUAAGCGAAAGAACCCGGGUUCGAGUCCCGGACCGCACA